GAUGGACGCUGGCCAGAAUGCUUAACACAAUGCAAGAUCUACUUGAACUUCGGUUUGGGUGGCGGGACGGGUGAGUAACGCGUAAAGAAACUUGCCUCACAGUUAGGGACAACAUUUGGAAACGAAUGCUAAUACCUGAUAUUAUGAUUUUAGGGCAUCCUAAGAUUAUGAAAGCUAUAUGCGCUGUGAGAGAGCUUUGCGUCCCAUUAGCUAGUUGGAGAGGUAACGGCUCACCAAGGCGAUGAUGGGUAGCCGGCCUGAGAGGGUGAACGGCCACAAGGGGACUGAGACACGGCCCUUACUCCUACGGGAGGCAGCAGUGGGGAAUAUUGGACAAUGGACCAAAAGUCUGAUCCAGCAAUUCUGUGUGCACGAUGACGUUUUUCGGAAUGUAAAGUGCUUUCAGUUGGGAAGAAAAAAAUGACGGUACCAACAGAAGAAGUGACGGCUAAAUACGUGCCAGCAGCCGCGGUAAUACGUAUGUCACAAGCGUUAUCCGGAUUUAUUGGGCGUAAAGCGCGUCUAGGUGGUUAUGUAAGUCUGAUGUGAAAAUGCAGGGCUCAACUCUGUAUUGCGUUGGAAACUGCAUGACUAGAGUACUGGAGAGGUAAGCGGAACUACAAGUGUAGAGGUGAAAUUCGUAGAUAUUUGUAGGAAUGCCGAUGGGGAAGCCAGCUUACUGGACAGAUACUGACGCUAAAGCGCGAAAGCGUGGGUAGCAAACAGG
rnacentral:rRNA from 1 species